CUCUGUUAUUGAAGCGGCGGGUUUGUGUAAUGUUUUCAUUGUUGGGAAAAUAGACCCUCUAAAUGUAACUGUCGCGUCUCAAGACACUAGUUUAGAUGAGAUGAAAAGGAGCAGCCAUCUUCUUUCUGAUAGACGCCUCUGCGUUACACAGUAACCAACCCAUGGACUGGACUUUUGCAGGACUCCAUCACGUAAGAUCAAUUCAACUUGGCAGCGUGUCUUAUCGCUGUGGGAGGAAAUAGGAGCUGCUGGAAGAAGGCCAUGUUUACAGAAGAAAUGCAUACAAACUCCCCUAGAAGCCCCUGCAGCUGCCAGUCAAACUGGGGUCCGUGCAUAAUGGGACAGCAUCGCCCAUGCUGCCUGCUCAUUACUCAUAUGGUGUAGAAAUGGUUACCUCUGAUUUUAUGUGGGCAACGAAGAUGUGAAUGCAUUGAGGACAAAAUGUCCCCCUUAUUUUUACAGAGUGAAAAAUGCUGUGCCCAUUUUCCGAGUAAUUUAUAUCUAAACUUUUCAUAUGCGUGUGUCUAACUGUAUCAUUAUUUACUUAUCUGUUUUUAUUGCCUUUAUCCUUUUGACUGGUCACAUUUCUUCUGUUUUUCCAGUUAGGCAAGUGAAGUGACUUGCUCAGGGUCACACAGUGUUAGUGGCUGGAUUUGAACCCACGACCUCAGGGGUUGAGUUUUAACGGCUGUGCCUGCUGCAGUGCAGACCCCUUGAGGAGUAAAGGUUAAGAUGGUGGCGUUUUGCUUAUUUUAAAGAAAAUGUAAACUUUCUGAGAGCCCUUCUUCUUUACUUUUUGUGUGCUGUGACUCCCAUACCCCCCUCGUUUCUUUUAUUUUUCUUCACGCCAAGCUACAGAAUGAGUUAGUGAGGACAAUCAGAAGGUAAGCUCCAUGGAUCAGGUCAGGGGAUACAGUCCAUGACGCUCCAGUCCCGGCUGAAGACCCCCUCAUGACACUAUUGACGUCCCCCUCGUGACAUAUUGUCCUCUGCAUUGUCUUCUUAUUCUCCACCUGAAGUUCUGCCCAGCCAACCAAGGGCUGAUGAGGGUGGCAGUGCCCCCCUGACUCUUGUCUUCUGUCGUCAUGUCCAUUAGAUGCCCCUGUGGCUCAUGCUGGUUUGUUUAACUGCUGAUCAGACAGCAGGUGCUAAUCAUGACUGUUAAGUAUUUAUUUUCACUAAUAAAAAUAUGACUGGGAUGGACUGCAGCCUGCCAGACUUUUAUGGGCCUUAGUUAACAUUUCUAUUUUGUAU